UAAUACCGCAUACGUCCUACGGGAGAAAGCAGGGGACCUUCGGGCCUUGCGCUAUCAGAUGAGCCUAGGUCGGAUUAGCUAGUUGGUGGGGUAAUGGCUCACCAAGGCGACGAUCCGUAACUGGUCUGAGAGGGUGAUCAGUCACACUGGAACUGAGACACGGUCCAGACUCCUACGGGAGGCAGCAGUGGGGAAUAUUGGACAAUGGGCGAAAGCCUGAUCCAUAAAGGCCGCGUGUGUGAAGAAGGUCUUCGG
rnacentral:rRNA from 1 species